rnacentral:misc_RNA from 1 species
UCCGAGUUGGCCCCGGCAGUCUCCUACGAGUCCCCGGCAUUACCCGCUGGCAACAUAGGACAAGGGUUGCGCUCGUUGCGGCACUUAAGCCAACAUCUCACGACACGAGCUGACGACAGCCAUGCAGCACCUGUGCUGGCCCCUUACGGAGCCCUGCUUUCACAGGGUUUAACCAGCAUGUCAAGCCCAGGUAAGGUUCUUCGCGUUGCAUCGAAUUAAACCACAUGCUCCACCGCUUGUGCAGGCCCCCGUCAAUUCCUUUGAGUUUUAAUCUUGCGACCGUACUCCCCAGGCGGAUAACUUAAUGCGUUAGCUGCGCCACCCAAGCACUAAGUGCCCGAAUAGCUAGUUAUCAUCGUUUACGGCGUGGACUAC